rnacentral:rRNA from 1 species
AGUGAACGCUGGCGGUAUGCCUAACACAUGCAAGUCGAACGGCAGCACAGUAAGAGCUUGCUCUUACGGGUGGCGAGUGGCGGACGGGUGAGGAAUACAGCGUAAUCUACUUUUUCGUGGGGGAUAACGUAGGGAAACUUACGCUAAUACCGCAUACGACCUACGGGUGAAAGCAGGGGAUCUUCGGACCUUGCGCGAUUGAAUGAGCCGAUGUCGGGUUAGCUAGUUGGGGGGGUAAAGGCCCACCAAGGCGGCGAUCCGUAGCUGGUCUGAGAGGAUGAUCGGCCAAACUGGAACUGAGACACGGUCGAGACUCCUGAGGGAGGACGCAGUGGGGAAUAUUGGACAAUGGGCGCGAGCCUGAUCCAGCCAUACCGCGUGAGUGAAGAAGGCCUUCGGGUUGUAAAGCCAUUUUGUUGGGAAAGAAAAGCAGCAGGUUAAUACCCCGCUGUUCUGACGGUACCCAAAGAAUAAGCACCGGCUAACUUCGUG